rnacentral:sRNA from 1 species
AAGUGCAACUCCACAUCGUAUGAUGAGC